ACUGGCGGCCGUAGCGCGGUGGUCCCACCUGACCCCAUGCCGAACUCAGAAGUGAAACGCCGUAGCGCCGAUGGUAGUGUGGGGUCUCCCCAUGCGAGAGUAGGGAACUGCCAGGC
rnacentral:rRNA from 5 species